AGAAAGAAAGAAGAAUAGAAGUCUAGAAAACAAUGGAACGAAGCAGAAUUCAAAAGAUAUGUAGUAAAAAUGCACAUGAAUCGUUUGUGGAGCGUUCCUCACGGCAUAUAUAAUUUUUCUUUUUUUUCUC
rnacentral:ribozyme from 14 species